rnacentral:rRNA from 1 species
AUUGAACGCUGGCGGCAGGCCUAACACAUGCAAGUCGAGCGGAUGAAGGGAGCUCGCUCCUGGCUUCAGCGGCGGACGGGCGAGUAAUUCCUAGGAAUCUGCCUGGCCGUUGGGGAUAACGUCCGGACACGGGCGCUAAUCCCGCAUCCGUCCUGAUUUUGAACGUGGGGGUUCUUCGGACCUCACCCUAUCAGAUGUCCCUAGGUCGGAUUAGCUAGUUGGUUAGGUAAAGGCCUACCAAGCCGACGAUCCGUAACUGGUCUGAGAGGAUGAUCAGUCACACUGGAACUGAGACACGGUCCAGACUCCUACGGGAGGCAGCAGUGGGGAAUAUUGGACAAUGGGCGAAAGCCUGAUCCAGCCAUGCCGCGUGAGUGAAGAAGGUCUUCGGAUUGUAAAGCACUGUAAGUUGGGAGGAAGAGCAGUAAGUUAAUACCUUGCUGUUUUGACGUUACCAACAGAAUAAGCACCGGCUAACUACGUG